rnacentral:lncRNA from 1 species
AAUUUCAGCGUUCUUUCUGCAAUGGAAACAAAUAGCAUAAAAGAAUACUACAUGUUCUCAGAAUGAAAUGCUAUCUUCUGCUUUAAUUCCUAUGUUCGACAGCCUAGUAGUGACCUCACAGUGGAUUCUGUGAUGAAAACUAUGCUGCAGCUGGAGACUCGAGUCUCCAGUCAUGUGGAGUGCUAUCUCACACCUGUGCUCACGAAGCCAAUGUGUGUGCUUCCCUUUGCCUCAACCCCUUCAGGCUUUAGUUCCUCACAACUUUGGGCUGGGAAGCAAGAACAGGAUUCUUGAUUCUUCAGGGGAUACUCAGGUGGAGGAGGAAGAAGAAAUCAGCAUUUGGAGACAAUAAAAUGGGAAAGCCUAUCAUCUAGACCUGCUUCGUCCAAAAUUAUGGGCUGCUUUGGGCUGGCUUUCACGUGCCAAAAAGGUGAAUGUACCAAUUAACAUUAAAGAUUCACAUUUGAUAAGACUGAGAAUACAUCCCCAACCUACAAAGGUAAAUACGUCUCCACCUCUAUUUUCAUUGCUAAGACAUUUUUUCUUGAAUUGUGGACAGUUUCAUAAAUCUUGCAAGAGAGAAAGCUUUCAUAGCUUCCACAGAAAAGUCCCUUUAGCGACACCCCUCAUGAUAAGUAGAAUACCAGUGAUGAUGUGUUCUAGACCACCUGACACUCUGGAAUCAACAGUCUCACAGAGAAGAAUGAAUGGUCAGGAGUAAAGAAUUCCUCCAUAAAAUGAGUCUGAAUUUCUCUUGAGAUCUAAAGAUUCAUUGGGAUAUAUUCUUCCCUAUAUCUCCAAAUAGGGCAGAGAAGUUAAUUAAAAGUAGUUACAAGAAAGAAGCCGUGGUCUGAAGGUGGUAAGCUUGACCCACAAAAAUGACCAGGAACAAAACUGCACACAAUUUAGAUUUUGCGAUCAGAAGCCAGCAGGAUAUUUGUUCUCUGAGCAGACACCAGGGGGAGACAAUCCUGAAAAUCAAAUCAACAGGUGACGUCUCAGAGAACAGAACAGGACUAAUCUAAGUCUAGCCAUUUCACAACCCUUCCCGCAAUGUCACAGAACUGUAAAGUCAGGCAUUCAGACAUAACCCCCCCAGAGAAGAUGGGAGGGUGGGAUGGGAAGUUUUAAACCUAUAACAGUUGAAAAGAAUCCUUGAAUUUGGUUUAAUUUUCCUGGAAAUGAGUAAAUUACAUUUUUGGAAGCAGGUUGAAAUACG